UGCCCACCUACCCUUGUGAUA
rnacentral:siRNA from 1 species